GAUUAACGCUGGCGGCGUGCAUAACACAUGCAAGUCGAACGAUGAAACUUUAAUGAACCCUUCGGGGAGAAUUAAAGCGGAUUAGUGGCGAACGGGUGAGUAACGCGUGAGUAACCUGCCUUACACAAGGGGAUAGCCUCUGGAAACGAAGAAUAAUACCCUAUAAAACCAUAAAAGCACAUGCAAUUAUGGUCAAAGUAUUAGCGGUGUAAGAUGGACUUGCGUCUGAUUAGCUAGUUGGUGAGAUAAAAGCCCACCAAGGCAACGAUCAGUAGCCGGCUUGAGAGAGUGUACGGCCACAUUGGGACUGAGACACGGCCCAGACUCCUACGGGAGGCAGCAGUGGGGAAUUUUGCACAAUGGGGGAAACCCUGAUGCAGCGACGCCGCGUGAUUUAGAAGGCCUUCGGGUUGUAAAAAUCUUUUGUAUAGGAAGAAAAUGACAGUACUAUACGAAUAAGGUCCGGCUAAUUACGUGCCAGCAGCCGCGGUAAUACGUAAGGACCGAGCGUUGUCCGGAAUCAUUGGGCGUAAAGGGUACGUAGGCGGCUAGAAAAGUUAGAAGUCAAAGGCUAUAGCUCAACUAUAGUAAGCCUCUAAAACUAUUUAGCUUGAGAGAUGGAAGGGAAAGUGGAAUUCCUAGUGUAGCGGUGGAAUGCGCAGAUAUUAGGAGGAAUACCGGUGGCGAAGGCGACUUUCUGGCCAUUUUCUGACGCUGAGGUACGAAAGCGUGGGUAGCAAACAGGUUUAGAUACCCUGGUAGUCCACGCCGUAAACGAUGAGUGUUAGGUGUCUGGAGUCAAAUCUGGGUGCCGCAGCAAACGCAUUAAACACUCCGCCUGGGGAGUACGCACGCAAGUGUGAAACUCAAAGGAAUUGACGGGGACCCGCACAAGCAGCGGAGCAUGUGGUUUAAUUCGACGCAACGCGAAGAACCUUACCAAGUCUUGACAUAUUUUAGAAGCAAUUAGAGAUAAUUGCCUAUAUCUUCGGAUAACUAAAUACAGGUGGUGCAUGGUUGUCGUCAGCUCGUGUCGUGAGAUGUUGGGUUAAGUCCCAUAACGAGCGCAACCCCUAUUGCUAGUUACCAUCAUUAAGUUGGGGACUCUAGUAAUACUGCCGGUGACAAACCGGAGGAAGGUGGGGAUGACGUCAAAUCAUCAUGCCCUUUAUGACUUGGGCUACACACGUGCUACAAUGGCAGGUACACAGGGAAGCAAGACUGUGAAGUUAAGCAAAACUCAAAAAGCCUGUCCCAGUUCGGAUUGCACUCUGCAACUCGAGUGCAUGAAGUUGGAGUUGCUAGUAAUCGCAGAUCAGAAUGCUGCGGUGAAUGCGUUCCCGGGUCU
rnacentral:rRNA from 1 species